ACGGCAGCACGGGUGCUUGCACCUGGUGGCGAGUGGCGAACGGGUGAGUAAUGUAUCGGAACGUAUCCGGAAGUGGGGGAUAGCCCGGCGAAAGCCGGAUUAAUACCGCAUAUGCCCUGAGGGGGAAAGUGGGGGACCGCAAGGCCUCAUGCUUUCGGAGUGGCCGAUAUCGGAUUAGCUAGUAGGUUAGGUAAAGGCUGACCUAGGCGACGAUCCGUAGCGGGUCUGAGAGGAUGAUCCGCCACACUGGGACUGAGACACGGCCCAGACUCCUACGGGAGGCAGCAGUGGGGAAUUUUGGACAAUGGGGGCAACCCUGAUCCAGCCAUGCCGCGUGAGUGAAGAAGGCCUUCGGGUUGUAAAGCUCUUUCGGACGGAAAGAAAUUGCCAUCUCUAACAUAGGUGGUGGAUGACGGUACCGUAAGAAGAAGCACCGGCUAGCUACGUGCCAGCAGCCGCGGUAAUACGUAGGGUGCGAGCGUUAAUCGGAAUUACUGGGCGUAAAGCGUGCGCAGGCGGUUAUGUAAGACAGGCGUGAAAUCCCCGGGCUUAACCUGGGAACUGCGCUUGUGACUGCAAGGCUAGAGUGCGGCAGAGGGGGGGUAGAAUUCCACGUGUAGCA
rnacentral:rRNA from 1 species